AUGACCGACAUCACGGCGGCCGGUGGCGACCCGCCGCGCGCGCCGGUGGACCUCGUGACGGUUCUCGAUGUGAGUCAUAGUAUGAGCGGGCAAAAAUUGACGCUGUUGAAGCAGGCCAUGCGGUUCGUCAUCGCCAAUCUCAGCCCCGACGACCGCCUCUCCGUCGUGUCCUUCAACAUGAAGGCGCGCCGGGUGACCAGGCUCGUGCGCAUGUCGGAGGCCGGCAAGGCCCUGUCCGUGAGCGCCGUGGAGUCCCUCACGGCGGGCGGCUGCACCGACAUCGCCGAGGGGCUCCGUAUGGCAGCCAUGGUACUCGACCAGCGCCGACACAGGAAUGCCGUCUCGAGCGUCAUGCUCCUCUCCGAUGGCCAGGACAACUACAUCAUGAUGAGGCACCAGGAGUCGUCCGGCGUCCAGGCCAACGACUACGAGGACCUCGUCCCGACCACCUUCACGCGCACGUGUGCUGACGGUGAAUGGUCAGUGCCAAUCCACACUUUCGGCUUCGGCAAUGACCACGACGCGGCCGCGAUGUACAUCAUCGCCGAGGCUACAGGCGGCACGUUCUCGUUCGUCGAGAACGAGGCGGUGAUCCAGGACGCGUUCGCACAGUGCGUCGGCGGGCUGCUCUCUGUCGUGGUCCAGGAGGCUCGCAUCGUUGUCGCGUGUGUGCACCCCGGGGUCCGUGUCAUGUCGCUCAAGUCCGGCAGUUACGAGAGCCGCAUCGACAAGGAUGGCCGCGCCGCUACGGUCUGGGUCGGGGAACUAUACGCUGAUGAGGAGAGGCAUUUCUUGCUGAUCCUGACCGUGCCAAGAGCCGAAGCGACAGUCGGUGACACCACCGCUCUGUUGAAUGUGUCAUUCAGCUACAGAGAUGCGGCGACCGGCGCGGACGUGAGCGUGUCGGCCAAGGAUACAGUGGUGGCGAGGCCGGAGCACGCGGCGGACGCGGAGCGGUCGGUGGAGGUUGAGUGGGAGCGUGUCCGGGUAGAUGCGGCCGAGGACAUCGUGGCGGCGAGGGCAGCAGCUCAGCGGGGCGAGCACCAAGAGGCGGCGGCGAUACUCAAGAACCACCAACGUGCAGUGGCGCUGUCAGAGGCGGCGCGCGACGGCGCCCCCGUGACCGUGGCGCUAGAGGCCGAGCUGCAGGAGAUGCGCAGGCACGUGUCGAACCGGCAGAGCUACGCGCUGUCGGGUAGGGCGUACAUGCUCUCCGGCAUGAGCGCACACCAGCAACAACGCGCUACCUCGAGGCAGAUGAAUCUGGUGGAUGAGAUCUCGGUGGAAUCUAUGGCCGCACCGGCGGCGGCGCCGCCAGUAAAGUUGGCAUCGAACGAGCCGACAUUGUCGUACGCGACACCGGCUAUGCGCGCCAUGCUGCUGCGCUCGCGGAGGGCACGGGAGGCAUCAGCCGAGGGCAGAAGCUACAAGCUGAAGAAGAAUAUGCAGGAGGCUCCGAACACGGUCAGCCUACGCCACCACUGA
rnacentral:rRNA from 1 species